CCAACAUUGAAUGAGUUGUGGGGGCAGAUAGCCAGGCAAGCCAUUGAGGAACAGUCUCAUGUUUUAGAGGGACCUUCAAUUCAGACUGUUCAGAUUACUGAUGAUGUCAGUGUCACCCGCAUAGGGGAUGAGGAGCAGAGUCAUGAGCCUACAUUGCACCAUCUACUUUCCUACACUCCUAUGUCCCUGCUCUUGCGCCUAAGGAUGUAGUGGAUCA
rnacentral:lncRNA from 1 species